UACGGAGGGUGCGAGCGUUAAUCGGAAUUACUGGGCGUAAAGGGUGCGUAGGUGGUUUGAUAAGUUAUCUGUGAAAGCCCUGGGCUCAACCUGGGAAGGCCAGAUAAGACUGUUAGACUCGAGUAUGGUAGAGGGUAGUGGAAUUUCCGGUGUAGCGGUGAAAUGCGUAGAGAUCGGAAGGAACACCAGUGGCGAAGGCGGCUACCUGGGCUAAUACUGACACUGAGGCACGAAAGCGUGGGGAGCAAACAGGAUUAGAAACCCCCGUAGUCC
rnacentral:rRNA from 1 species